rnacentral:misc_RNA from 1 species
CCAAGACAUAAAUCCUUCAUUGAAUAUCAAUUAGAGCUUUGGUUGAGAAGGAAGAUAAACUGAGAACAGUUAGUGAAUAUUAAUUGCAAGAAAUCAAUCACAGAUCUUGCUUUACAGGAAACAAUCAGCUACCUAACCCACCAAAGAAAGGGGGAAACAUCUAUAGCUAUUCAAGAAGAUCAACCAAAGAAACUAAAAAAAAUUUUACCUAUAAAUAGAAAAUGCAGAAGUGUAAAAGAAAUGUUUUUCCUCUAGUCCUCGAUUUUAAGGUACAAGAAAGAAAACAUAAAAAAUUGAAGUUAAAGAGGAGAAAAAGUACACUCAAGAUGGAGAAUGUUUCUGUAAAUGGAA